rnacentral:misc_RNA from 1 species
AACAAUGUUACAGUUUAAUCUAAAUAAGACAAAGAGGCAACUAUACUCUUCUCGCACUAAUUAAAUUAUCAUAAUUUCUAAUUCAGUCCUUUCUAUUCUGUCAUGUCUCCUUGUCUCAAGCACUGACAGCAUGCUCCCAUGUCACGCGCUAUAUAAAAUCACAAUUUUAUUUCUCUAGUCAUUAAGACUGCUCACAAAAACAUAAAUAAAGUCGCUAUCAAAGUGAACGUAGAAACUAAGAUAGAACGCAGAUAAGAGAGAACCCAGAUGCUUUCAAGUAGUAUUCGACAGGAACUGGCAUAGAGAUAACCACCGUCGGCAUUAAGGAUCUUCUUCUGGUUGAGUUCGACUCCAGACGUGAAGACAAAUUUGGGAAUCUUGGGAAUCUGGGAAUACAGAAUUGAGGAACAGACUCCAGAUGACCUUUUUGAUGCCUGUUCAACAAUAAUAAUAAAGAUAAAUAAAGGUGUACCGGAACCAGAACGCCGAGCUCUUGUGGAGGUGGGAGGUUAGGUUUACGACAGUGGACGGAGGAUUUCGUUGAAGCCACAGAGUCUCGCGAAAACUGUUACUGGCUGUUGAAGAAGAAAAUGUGGAAGCUUCUGCUCGUGUUGUGUGUAGGGGUGGUGGACACUGCCAGCGUUAAGAACUGGAAGCACUUCAAGAGAAGCAUACUCACAGGCUGCGACGUACCAGAGUAUUUCCGGUGUGCGAGUGGUACUUACUGCAUUGAGCCAAAAUAUACCUGCGACUCAAGAGAUGACUGUGGGGAUAACUCUGACGAGACACUUCCUGAAUGUCCACCAGAAGGUUCAUGCACAGGUCCCCAUCGCUUUCCAUGCAAGAACGGCAACUGCAUCGGAAUAUCUUUCUAUUGUGACUUAAUGGACGACUGCGAAGAUGGAUCUGACGAGGAGAACUGCGACCCUUCUGCCUGCUCUGAGGACGAGAUGAGGUGUGACAUCGGCCUCUGCAUCGAGCCAUCUUGGCUGUGUGACGGAGACGACGACUGUGGUAACGGCUGGGAUGAGCGACCAGAGAACUGUCAUCCACGAUCGACGACAACAGAGUCGACGUGAACAGUCGUCGCUCUACCUCUCACCCACUUGCUAUCGUCGUUCUUUCGUCAAGCUGCACCCGGCUGUAAUAAAAGGUCGUUUCGUUGUCGAGGGGAGCUAGUUAUGCAUUAUCCACCCGGGUAAAUCCUCCACGACAAAGAAAGGAGCAGGAAGUCCGUGAUAAAAAAUGUGAAUCUUGGAUCAGGAUGGCUGCUUAUGACGACAACCCUCAGCUCAUGAAUGGCACCAAAAAAUCACGGAACUUAAAAAGAGUCCGUAAUUUUAUUCGUGCCAUGUACUAGCAAGGGAAAGAAGCAUGCCAGAGCGUUAGUUGUCCGCCCUUAGCAUCGGCGCUGUCCUGCUGUCCUUUGAGCUCAGCUUUGAAGAGGUCGCAACAGAAUGUACUUUCAGGCAAGGACACCAGUGUCCAGGGAACAAAAGAGGAUCAUCCACGAUCCAUAGCAUCAUAACCAUUGUGAACAGUCGUCGCUCUCACCCGCUUACUGAAUUCAUUCUUUCGUCACGCCGCACCCGGCUGCAAUAAAAGUCG